UUUUGGACAAUGGGCGCAAGCCUGAUCCAGCAAUGCCGCGUGAGUGAAGAAGGCCUUCGGGUUGUAAAGCUCUUUUGUCACCCCACGAAACGGUGGACUCUAAUACAGAUCACUAAUGACGGUACCUGAAGAAUAAGCACCGGCUAACUACGUGCCAGCAGCCGCGGUAAUACGUAGGGUGCAAGCGUUAAUCGGAAUUACUGGGCGUAAAGCGUGCGCAAGCGGUUUGGUAAGACAGAUGUGAAAUCCCUGGGCUCAACCUAGGAAUUGCAUUUGUGACUGCCCGACUAGAGUGUGUCAGAGGGGGGUAGAAUUCCACGUGUAGCAGUGAAAUGCGUAGAGAUGUGGAGGAAUACCGAUGGCGAAGCAGCCCCCUGGGAUAACACUGACGCUCAUGCACGAAA
rnacentral:rRNA from 1 species